GCCGCCCGGCUGCUCCUCCUUCCUCCCCGGGGUGUCGCAGCGAUGUUUAACCGCGCUGUGAGCCGGCUGAGCAGGAAGCGGCCGCCGUCAGAUAUCCACGACAGUGAUGGGAGUGCCAGCAGCAGCCACCAGAACCCCAAGAGCACAGCCAAGUGGGCGGCUUCUUUGGAGAAUCUACUUGAAGACCCAGAAGGCGUGAAAAGAUUUAGGGAGUUUUUAAAAAAAGAAUUCAGUGAAGAGAAUGUUUUGUUUUGGCUAGCCUGUGAAGAUUUUAAGAAAACACAAGAUAAAAAGCAGAUGCAGGAAAAGGCAAAGGAGAUAUACAUGACCUUUCUGUCCAGCAAGGCCUCAUCACAAGUCAAUGUUGAGGGCCAGUCCCGGCUCAAUGAGAAGAUUCUGGAGGAACCACACCCACUGAUGUUCCAAAAACUCCAGGACCAGGUAAUCUGACUUCCCUACUUAGACCUUGAUUUGAAAACUGACAUCCCCCCCCCGACCCCACCCCAAGUCUGGAAGAAUUCAGUUAAGACUAAACGUUAGACACCCGUCUCUUCCAGAUGGACAGGCUGAGGCCCGUGGAGGGUCUGUGGUUGGUGACAGACAGAUACUGACUUGCCAGGCCCAGGAACUGGCCCGGAGGAGCCUCCCUCAGGCCUCUUUCUGUCUACACACAGUUUGACCCAGCAGGGUUAUCUGGCUUCUCAGCCAGCUUAGAAGGGAGGCUGGAGUUAGUUGAGGAACCCACAGAGGAAGCAACACGUGAUAUAACUGAAGGUAGGAGCAGCCAGAGAAAUCUAGCAAACAAGCACACAGACUCGAAGUGGCAGGGAACCUAAGGUUGCUGUGCUAAUGCCCAAAUAUUGCCACCUGCUUCUGAUGGCUCAGGAGCCCACUUUGCCAACAUAAAUGCACUUAAAGCAGGAAAAGUUAGAUUUCAAGAAAGGACCUAUAAGGGGUAAACUUUAGUUUUCUGGCAAAUUUUCAUAGGAGGAAUGCCAGAAGUAAGAUAGGCAAAAGGGAUGAAAUUGUACUGCAGAGGUUUUUGUUUUUGACAUGAAUUUGCAAAUGUGACUAUUCAUAGCAUACUCUGUUCUUAGGAAAUGGUAUGUACACACUUGCAGAGCAUGGAACACUGGCAGAUUUCAACCUUCUGCCAGCCCUGUUCUUACUGGGGAAGCCAAGGCCUUAUUUGGCACACAGGUGGAGACUAGCUCUUAGCUUAAUUCAGCCCUCCUCCAACAUGAACAAGCCCAGAGCCACCUGGAGGGUUUUGUUUUGUUUUUUGCACUUUUUAGGGCUGCACUCGUGGCAUAUGGAGAUUCCCACGCUAGGGGUCGAAAUGGAGCUACAGCCACCACCUACACCACAGCCCCAGCCACGCAGGAUCCAAGCUGUGUCUGUGACCUACACCACAGCUCAUGACAACACCAGAUCCUUAACCCACGGAGCGAGGCCAGGGAUCGAACCCACAUCCUCAUGGAUCCUAGUUGGGUUCGUGAACUGCAGAGCCAUGAAGGGAACUCCUGGAGGGCUUGUUAAAACAGAGGCUGGACUCCAGCCCCAGAGUUAAUCAGCAGGCUUGAUGGUUCCCAGGUGGGUCGAGAUGUUGUCUUCCCAACAAGUUCCCAGGUGACUCUUAUGCUGCAGGUCCCAGGACUACACAUUAAGAAACCACUGGCCCAUUGCAUCGUUUGGCGUUUUUUGAUCACCUGGAGUGGGCACUGAGCCCAGGACAUAUCCCAACAUCCAGCAGGCCUCACUUGCUCAGCAACAGAUAGAAAACAAGACAGGUAGCAAAUACAAGUAUGAGAAGUAGCUGGGGACUGUUUUCCAAUUGAUACGGUGGCAAGCGCAAAUUCCGCAUGAAUUCUGAAUCAAGUUUGGGGGUUGAAUGGACGCCAGUUAACAUGGAAAACUUGCUGAGGGCUUCCUGGAGGUGGUGAUUUUGAGCCAGCGAGAGGGGUGCUGUGGACAUGGAUUUGUGGAGGGGAAGGGAAGUGGGAGGAAUGAUUCAAGGCAGUUCCUGGGCUGUAACCGCACGGGGAUCCACCCUACCUGGACCUCUGAUUUGCUCCCCGGCUUCUUAGGGCACUUUGACAUGCAGCCAGGGCUGAGAACUGCACUGACACUCCUGUGUUCUAGGUAUUCUCAGUAAGAGCAGUAUCUACCUUUCAGAGGUGCCCUUCUGUGCCCGGCCCCCUUGGCAUCUGUACUAUCACAUUUACACUCCAGUGAGCAGUGGCAUUCCCAUUUUGAUGGGGAGGAAAGCUGGGGUCAAGGGCACAAGUGGUUUGUUAGCACAAAGUCCCGCUGGUAUAGGAAGUGCUGGUGGCUGUCAUGCCUGCUUUCAAAGACUACACUGUGUCCCCCACAGCCUGAGCAGCUGCCCUGGGCUCCAAGACAGCCCCACACUGCUCCUCAAAGCCCCCUGAGAUCUGCUGGAGCAGGGGGAUUGGAAAGCCAUGGUUGUAUAUGGUUCUUUUCUGGGACUGCAGAAGCCACCUGGGGUGGCGAGGAGUGGGACGGGCUCCUGCCAUUCCAUGUGCAAGACCACGGGCUCCGGAGGACCUGGCUCUCCUGCCGUUAAGGCUUGUGACACGUCUCAAAAUCCAAAGGCCUGGCUGUCCUGCCGUUAGGCCAGCUGGGUCUCUGUGACCUGGGCACCCUCACUGGAUUGAGACGUGGAAGGUUUAGUGUUAUAUAAAAAGGAGGAAAUAAGGGACAGAGGAUGUUUCCUUAAAGUGACAAAAAUAUUUUAAAAAUAAUUUUUAUUAAAAAAGACUUGUUGGGGUUCCUUGGUGGCCUAGCGGUUAAAGGAGCUGGUGCUGUCACUACUGUGGUGGAGGUUGAUACCAGGCCCCAGAAACUUCUGCACGCUCUGGGUACGGCCCCAAAAAAACAGACCCCAAAACUUAUCUACUUAACUGGAAAAAUCAUACAGGCUUGGCAAAAGAAACUUGGGAAACCAAAAUGUAAAGAUGAAAACAAUUUCAUUCCAUUCCUGUUGAUGUCUAGGCUUUCCAUCUUUUUUCUACGAAUAUGCAUGUGCACACACAUCUAACACGUGUGG
rnacentral:lncRNA from 1 species